UCCAGAACCGAACCGGCCCACACUGCGGAGUGGGCCCGUGGGAAGGCCAGCCAUGGCGACCACCGUUAGAAAAAAGGGCUGUCAGGACUCCCCGCAGUCCACGUCGUCCUGUGCCCAGGCUGCCUGCGGGAGGCGAGAUCGAAAACUGGACUUCCUCUCUCUUCCUCCCCGGCAGCGGUGCAGGGUUAGGGCUGUAAUCCCCAAACUCAGAGCCCCACACCCCUGUGUCCAAUGGCCUGGCUACGCACCUGGAGAUUGAGUUCUCUGAUGCGAUGUCCUUUGGAGUCCGGACUGUAGUAAAGGUUCGUCCAGCUCCACGCCCACCCACUGGCCGCUGGCGAACUCGGUGGUCCCGCAGAACCGCAGUGUGCCUGUCUGGAAGAACAAGGAAGGGUGUGGCGUGGGGAGGCCUUGGGAGGCCACGAUAGGCCACUGUUUCACAGGCAGCAUGGAGGGGGAAGUGAGGGAGCCCCAGACUCAAACCUCAGCUCAGACAUCACCAUUUACUGGCUAUAUGACAUAACCUCACUGUGCCUUAAUGUGCUCUUCUGCAAAAUAGGAGCAGAAACUGUGCCUACCUUAGAGGAUUAGAACUACCCUGUUCAAUACAAUAAAGAGCCACUAGCCAAUAUAUGACAAUUUAAAAUUAAAUUAAAAAUUCAUUUCCCCAAUUACACCAACCACAUUUCAAGUGCUUAAUAGCCACAUGUGCCUUGUGGAUACUUCCUGGGACAGCAUAGUUAUAGCAACAUUUAAAGUUCAUAGAUUGGCCAGGUGCUGAGUAAGGGAUUAGUGAGUGUUGACUACUAUUAUCAUGUAACUUUGGUCCUGGGACCUCCUGGGUCAAUUUCAUCUGGAAAAUUGGGAUAACAAUCCACCUCCUAGGCUUUGACUGGUUGAAAACUUCUAAUAUGUAAAGUUGUUUAGCUUCAGGGAGUGUGGUUAUUAUAACAGCAUGAGGCCCCUUUACUUAAAUCUCAGUUCUUGUCUAUAGGAUGGGCUAAUAACAAGUGCCGCUUUGGAGGGUUAGUGUGGGGAUCUGAGCAGUUCCUGGCACAGAGAGCACUCAGAUGCACCAAGCCCUGUUCUAAGGAAUUUAUACAUUUAACUAAUUUAAACCUCAUACUUCUCCUUGACAUGGGAGUUAUCAGCUCUACUGUACAGAUGGAGCAACUGAUGCCCGGCGAGGCAGGAUCACUGACUCCAAGCCUCUGAGUUGGUAAGAUUUGCCUGAGUAAAUCCCUGAGCCUAAACUCAUAACUACUGUGUUAUGCUGAUUUUCUAAGGGGCAGGGAUGAUUAUUGUAUAUCCUCAAACAAAGGGUUUCACCUCUCUGAGCUUCCUAGAGUCUUCUGGAUUGCAAGAUGGGGUAAGUGAACUCAUCCUGUUUUCAGAAUUGUCACAUGAACUUAACUAGAUCACACACAGAAAGCUUUUCAGAUGGGGCUGAUGCAUACAGAAAGAUAGGGAACAAUAUGUAACCCUUGUGGUUUCUCAAGAAAUAAAAUCCAGAUUCUUCCAA